CAGUCGCCGCGGGAAUACGGAGGGUGCAAGCGUUAAUCGGAAUUACUGGGCGUAAAGCGUGCGUAGGCGGUUCGUUAAGUCUGUUGUGAAAGCCCCGGGCUCAACCUGGGAAUGGCAAUGGAUACUGGCGAGCUAGAGUGUGUCAGAGGAUGGUGGAAUUCCCGGUGUAGCGGUGAAAUGCGUAGAGAUCGGGAGGAACAUCAGUGGCGAAGGCGGCCAUCUGGGACAACACUGACGCUGAGGCACGUAAGCGUGGGGAGCAAACAGGAUUAGAUACCCGCGUGUCCCUGUCUCUUAUACC
rnacentral:rRNA from 1 species